ACUGGUUUUUGGAGGGGCCUGUUUGCCAGCCUCCUGCCCUGCGACUAUGGCCCUGGGAUGUAUUGCCCUUUAAGGAACUGAUUUGGGCAUACUGUAUUUUAUUAUGCUGCUGCUGGCCCUUUAAGAACCAUCUGGGGACAUACUGUGGAGUUACUGGGUGGCCACCAUUUCAUGUAUCAGAGGCACAUGGUGAGAACAAUG